rnacentral:rRNA from 1 species
AUUGAACGCUGGCGGCAUGCUUUACACAUGCAAGUCGAACGGUAACAGGGUGCUUGCACCGCUGACGAGUGGCGAACGGGUGAGUAAUGCGUCGGAACGUGCCGAGUAGUGGGGGAUAACGCAGCGAAAGUUGUGCUAAUACCGCAUACGUACUGAGGUAGAAAGUGGGGGACCUUCGGGCCUCACGCUAUUCGAGCGGCCGACGUCUGAUUAGCUAGUAGGUGAGGUAAAGGCUCACCUAGGCGACGAUCAGUAGCGGGUCUGAGAGGAGGAUCCGCCAAACUGGGACUGAGACACGGCCCAGACUCCUACGGGAGGCAGCAGUGGGGAAUUUUGGAGAAUGGGCGAAAGCCUGAUCCAGCCAUGCCGCGUGUCUGAAGAAGGCCUUCGGGUUGUAAAGGACUUUUGUCAGGGAGGAAAUCCCUAGUGCUAAUAACACUGGGGGAUGACAGUACCUGAAGAAUAAGCACCGGCUAACUACGUGCCAGCCGCCGCCGUAAAAC